CUGCUGCUCACUUACUGCGACCCUCACUGACUGGUGCUCAUUUACUGUGACCCUCACGGACUGUUGCUCACUUACUGUGACCCUCACUGACUGCUGCUCACUUACUGUGACCCUCACGGACUGGUGCUCACUUACUGUGACCCUCACUGACUGUUGCUCACUUACUGUGACCCUCACUGACUGCUGCUCACUUACUGUGACCCUCACGGACUGCUGCUCAC